rnacentral:rRNA from 1 species
UACGAAGGGGGCUAGCGUUAAUCGGAAUUACUGGGCGUAAAGCGUGCGCAGGCGGUUCGCUAAGUCUGAUGUGAAAGCCCCGGGCUCAACCUGGGAACUGCAUUGGAAACUGGCGAGCUUGAGUGUGGCAGAGGGGGGUGGAAUUCCACGUGUAGCAGUGAAAUGCGUAGAGAUGUGGAGGAACACCGAUGGCGAAGGCAGCCCCCUGGGCUAACACUGACGCUCAGGCACGAAAGCGUGGGGAGCAAACAGG